AGCAUUUAGGAAUAGCAUUUGCCAGCUCCCAAGACUUGACCCUCCCUCUUGCUCUGACGUUACUUACCUAGUUGACCUCCUGUAGCACUGAGUUGUAUGCUGGCCAAGUUCCUGUUCCCUAGCCUGCUUUCUUUCCCUUGACCUUCCUGAAAUGCUGCUAACCUGAUUUUUGACUGUGAUCUAUGUGCUAUCUUCUGUGUGAAGCCUAUUGAAAGAUUCUUCCCUAAUGGAAACUUUCAUUUUAGGAGUUAUCUCAUUCUGUUUUAUAUGGAUCUGUUAGCUCCUUCAUUAGGUUUCAAGCUCUUUGAAUCUGUGAUUGAAUUUUCUCACCUUUGCUUUCCUCUCUGGGUCUAGAUUGGGAUCCUGAGUCAUAAUAGAGCCUUGUGUAGUACUGAAUUGCCUUGAACAGAAUUAAGGGACAUUGACACCAAACUUGAUUUUGCUAAUCUUUGGGCCUGAGCAGGGUAGAAUGGCUGAAGAAACUGUGAUCCCCCCAUUCAUUAUAUUCUUUAUUUCUAAACUACUCUGGAAUUUUUACCUCUUUUUGUUUCUAUGCAUUUUCAUACUUUUAAGCUACCCUUGCUGUUUCUUCCUGUCUCAUUUUUCUUCACACGCUCACAUGCAAGCUCAGUCAUCCAUCUCUCUUUUUCACCUUUCCUUCCUUAUAUAUGUUUCUUAAAAUAUCUUUUCUCUUCCAACCUCCUUUCCUCUGUCAGCCUCCUGAACAGAAAAUGGUAGUGCUAAUGUUUUUAAAAGUGGGGGAGGACUAGAAAUCUGUAUGGAAUGUAAUUCACUUUUAUUGCUUUUAAAUUAAAUGAAAGGCUUUUGCCCUUGUUUCUGUUCUACUCAGAAGGAUUUCAGACUAAAUCCUUAAGCCUGCCAUAUGGAAAUAACUGGGCUAGAUGGCUGCUAUCUAAUCUAAGCAUUUAAUUGAAACAUUUGAAAUGGCUUUUGGUUCAAGAAGACAUAGGUUGACACUAAGCUUUAUUUUAGCAAAGAUUUGGGAAGGUUCUAAUCUGUAGUAUGUAUACUUUGAUAAAUUUCGUAGACUAGACCAACAGAUUACAAUUUAGUUUGUUCUUCCAACAUAAAACUAUUUUAAUCCUAGUUUUAAUUUAAUUGAAGACUGGAUUUACUCACUGGCUUGUUGAAACUGUAGAUACCAACCACAACCCUGUUAUUUAAACACAAUUUAGAAAUCAUAAGUAGAAAUUCAAAAGGAGAGCUCAAUGCUGCAAGAUGAGAUUUGAUGCCCUGAAUAAACUCUGAAAUUUGCCAAAGACCUGUGGGACUUAAAAUAUCUUCUUAUUUCCUAUCAUCUAGAUAUGGCAGCAUGAGAACCAUUUAUUAUAAAUCAGGAUAGAUAUUUUACCAAAUGUUGAUUUUUGUUUGGAUAGUUUGUUCAUAUUCUCAACUAGGAAAGUUAGUACAGUAAUAUGGUAGUCAUUUAUCCCUCAUUCAGCAUUUUAGCAAAUAUUUCUUGAACAGUGGCCAUGUGAAGCCACUACAGUGAAUGUUUCUGGUAAUUAAAAUAAGAAUUAAAUUUGAUGUUUGAUCAUAAAAAGUAGAAGAACCUUGAUAAUAUUAUAUUAUGAGUGCCAUGGAAAACCUGCCAUUAUAAAGUGGUCUGAGGAAUAAAUGCUUGCAUGGGGUGCAGUGGGUCAGCUAGAGAAGACUUUAUAAGGAAAGUGGAAUAUGAGCUUUGAUGCCUAGCCAGUUGUCCAUAUGUGAAGACCAAGGGUGGGGAGGGGGUGGAUUCUGGACAGCUGGAACAUUGUUAACAAAAAUCUCAGAAAUUAUACAAAAUGGAAUAUGAAUGAGAAAUACAGGACAUUGGUUAGAUUUUAGUUUUAUGCAAAUUAAAGAGAAAAGUCAGAGACAAAAUUAAAGUCAGUGGGUCUAGAAUUUCAGCUUAAGCUUUGGUAGGUAGUGGAGAAUAUUUUUUCAUUAUUCUGCUCUUUAAACAAACUUCAGAGAUGAUUAAUCUUGAUUGUAAAGGAAGAGAAAUAGUUUGGAAGACCAGUUAGGGGGUUAUAAUAAUGGUCUAGUAAAAGGUAAUAAGAUCUGCACAAGGCUGGGAAGAGUAGGAUUAGAAUGGGGGGGGGGGGGGCUGAAAUUAAAAGACAUCAUGUGGUGGAAAUUUCUAGGAUUUAGAACCUGAUUGGAAGAGGAAGAUAACUGUAAAGAGCCAAACCUGAGAACUAACCCUGCUAAAAAAGUCAGACAAGUCAAGUGCUGCAGCUGGUGUGUGCUAGAAGAAUAAAAGGCCAAGCUAUGAUAGCAACUGGUGGAGUGAUAACCGGCCUGGCCGCCUUGAAAAGGCAAGACUCCGCCAGAUCACAGCAGCCUGCCAACCUCAGCCCGUCUCCUGCUACCCAAGAGAAGAAGCCCGUCAGGCGCCGGCCCCGGGCAGAUGUCGUGGUUGUUCGUGGUAAAAUCCGGCUUUAUUCCCCAUCUGGAUUUUUUCUUAUUUUAGGAGUACUCAUCUCCAUUAUAGGAAUUGCCAUGGCCGUUCUUGGAUAUUGGCCCCAAAAAGAACAUUUUAUUGAUGCCGAAACAACGCUGUCAACAAAUGAAACUCAGGUCAUUCGGAAUGAGGGCGGUGUGGUGGUUCGCUUCUUCGAGCAGCAUUUGCAUUCUGAUAAGAUGAAAAUGCUUGGUCCAUUCACCAUGGGGAUUGGCAUUUUCAUUUUCAUUUGUGCUAACGCCAUUCUUCAUGAAAACCGUGACAAAGAGACCAAAAUCAUACACAUGAGGGAUAUCUAUUCCACAGUCAUUGACAUUCACACGCUAAGAAUCAAGGAGCAGAGGCAAAUGAACGGCACGUACACUGGCUUGUUGGGAGAGACAGAAGUAAAACAGAAUGGGAGCUCCUGUGCCUCCAGAUUGGCAGCAAAUACGAUCGCCUCUUUCUCGGGUUUUCGGAACAGUUUUCGAAUGGACAGCUCCGUGGAGGAGGAUGAACUUAUGUUAAAUGAAACUAAGAGUUCUGGACAUCUUAUGCCCCCUUUGCUCUCUGACAGCUCUGUCUCUGUCUUUGGCCUCUAUCCACCUCCUUCCAAGACAUCUGAUGAUAAGACCAGCAGCUCUAAGAAAUGCAAAACCAAGUCAAUUGUGUCAUCAUCCAUCAGUGCUUUUACAUUGCCUGUGAUCAAACUUAAUAACUGUGUUAUUGAUGAGCCCAGUAUAGAUAACAUCACUGAAGAUGCUGACAACCUCAAAAGCAGGUCAAGGAACUUGUCAAUGGAUUCCCUUGUGGUUCCUUUGCCCAACACCAGUGAUUCCUUUCAGCCUGUCAGCACCAUGCUACCAAGGAAUAAUUCCAUCGGGGAGUCAUUGUCCAGUCAGUACAAGUCAUCUAUGGCUCUCGGGCCUGGGCCUGGACAGCUCUUGUCUCCUGGGGCUGCUAGAAGACAGUUUGGAUCCAAUACAUCCUUGCAUUUGCUGUCGUCACACUCAAAGUCCUUAGACUUAGACCGGGGUCCCUCCACUCUAACUGUUCAGGCAGAACAACGGAAACAUCCAAGUUGGCCCAGGUUGGAUCGGAACAACAGCAAGGGGUAUAUGAAACUAGAGAACAAAGAGGACCCAAUGGAUAGGUUACUUGUGCCCCAAGUUGCCAUCAAAAAAGACUUUACCAAUAAGGAGAAGCUUCUUAUGAUUUCAAGAUCUCACAAUAAUUUGAGUUUUGAACAUGAUGAGUUUUUGAGUAACAACCUAAAGCGGGGAACUUCUGAAACAAGAUUUUAGUGUUAAAAGAAUAUAUCGUUUUACAAGGGUACAUAUUUAAAAACUGUUUUCACUGGUGUUUCCUUCUUAAAGCAUUGGCUGUAAGCCUUUUUAAUCAAAUGGUUUGUAGUGUAUUAGAGUUGGCUGCUUAGUUCUGUAAUGAAGAUGGUUUUAUGUUUGGGCUACUUGUGACUGCAGUACUCUAUAUUAUCACAUAGAAUUUUAUUUUCUCUUCCUUUGAAAGCAUGAUCUCUUUUAGUAAUAUGAAUGCAAAAUACUUGCAUCCAAAUUAAAACUUAUUUUCUUUACUUUUAAGUUCUUUGAUUGCCCUAUUUAUAAAAUGGAAUGUCCAAUAUGGAAAACAUAGGGUACCAAGGUGCAGACCAGGAGUACAAAUUCAGUCCCAAUACUCAGUACGUAUUAUGGAUGGCUAUGAGUGCAAACCUUAGGCUGUGAUUUUCUGAAUAAUUGUUCUUUGUAGGAUUUGGUUAACUUAUUUAAAAUGAAAGAGAUCUAGUUUCAGUGUGAGCUCAAUGAUGUGAAUUGGUUAAGUUCAUUGUGAAUCCUGAGUUUUAGAUAGGUAGUAUUUUUUUCAACAUCAGUUCUAUUUUCAGUGAUGUUAUAUCAAGAAACAAUGUAUCCAAGAGCCAUCGCUGACAAUGCCAGAUAUACUUAUGGAUAAAUAUCAAAAUGCAAUUUUAGUAGCUAUAACUUUAGGUAUUCAGAAUCAAAAUUUGCAAGCUGACUUGAUAAACAAAUAGACGUUGUAGAAAUACUAUCCUGAAAUAAUUAUACACAUGAAGGCAAUGUUGACUAAUGAAUGAAGAUACAUUACAUGCAAGUUAAUGCUAACUAGUCUCAGUACCUUUUUCUAACCAUCUGUUACUUCCAAUAGCCCCUCAUUCCCACAUCCUAUUUUCCCCCAAUAUGUUUUAGAUCCUGGUAUUUGGAAAACAAUUGGCUAACCUUGACAUUUCUUUUCACCUUCACAUGCCACUAGCUUGGUAAUUCAAAAACAUUUAGUUCUUGAUAAAUUGCCUUGAAGUUUACCUUGUGCUGGAAAGCCUUAUGAUAACUCCAAAGACUUUCUUAUGGUAUAAUACAUUUUUAGGAUUGUGUUUCUUAGUUACUGAAGAUAAUAAAUAUUAAAAUGGAUGUUUCCAUCAGAAAAUUUUCAUGUUUUCCUUUAAGGUAACGUAACUGUAAGAACUGUUGAAUAGAAUACUCAGGAAAUUCUACAGCUCUCUCCCAAUACCUAAGCAUUUUUGAACAUCAGUGUCACAGUUAUGGAAGAGCAGAAGGAGGAUCCAUUUGUGUUGCUCCCCAGAAUUCCACAUUGCGUUCGCAUCACAAGCUUCCCUCAAUUGAGACACAGUUUUGCUUGUUACAAAAUUAAGCCUGUGUAUUGUAAUAGAGUGGGCUCAAUAUUUUACUAUAAAGCAUUUAAUAAACUUCUGUUAGAAGUUUGUGUUCUUCACACCUUUGCUACUGCUUUUUAAAUAAAAUGUACAUUUCUGCUUAAA